rnacentral:misc_RNA from 1 species
GGCAGUUUCUGGCCAAUAGAAUGCAUUUUUAAACGGUGUAGAAAAUUCUGACUUAGAAUCAUUUUGUGUCCUAAUUGUUUGUUGAUAGGACUGAACUGCUAUAGUUUCACUUUUUUCUGGUGUGAAAUGUCUUUCGCUUGUAAUAUUUUCAGGUAUGACUCCUUCCUCCAUGUCGCAGUUAUUCUUACUAAGUGUGGUUUUAGUUUUUUCUGGUGUGAAAUGUCUUUCGCUUGUAAUAUUUUCAGGUAUUACUCGUUCUUCCAUGUCGCAGUUAUUCUUACAAAGUAUGGUUUUAGUUUUU